CCUUUAUGUACAUAUUUUUCAAAUAAGGUUUUAGAAACUUGGCCAUGAUAUUCACUUGAAUCACUAGUUUGAGUGUACAGCAGAAAGGUAAAGUUACUGCUUUUGAAAAACUACAGUUGAUCUGUUGACUGAUAAAACUAUUUGCCAAUAUUACUAUCAGUUACAUCAAACUCUAUUAGUCUAAGUAAAUGGGAUUUAUCUAUACAGUACUGGUUUAUUUAAGAAUGUGAUACUUUGUGGUUUCUGUUUUUCUUUCAGGUGGAGAAAACAGUAUUGUGGGAGCGUAUUUGUUUAAAGUACAUAUCACUGACAGAAAGUUACCAAGGCAUAAGGAGAGACUGAGGAUACAGUUGAAGAUCAUCCCUGUGACUUUUCAUUUGAGGACUGAAAAGGCUCCCCAGCAACUCAGCCCAUGUUCUGACUUGUCAUUUAACAAAUAAAUAAAGGUCACCUCAA